rnacentral:rRNA from 1 species
GACAAACGCUGGCGGCGUGCUUAACACAUGCAAGUCGAACGGUAAAGCUCCAGCUUGCUGGAGUGGAUCAGUGGCGAACGGGUGAGUAACACGUGAGCAACCUGCCCCUGACUCUGGAAUAAGCGCUGGAAACGGCGUCUAAUACUGGAUACGAGAAGGGUCCGCAUGGGCACUUUCUGGAAAGUUUUUCGGUUGGGGAUGGGCUCGCGGCCUAUCAGCUUGUUGGUGAGGUAAUGGCUCACCAAGGCGACGACGGGUAGCCGGCCUGAGAGGGCGACCGGCCACACUGGGACUGAGACACGGCCCAGACUCCUACGGGAGGCAGCAGUGGGGAAUAUUGCACAAUGGGCGAAAGCCUGAUGCAGCGACGCCGCGUGAGGGAUGACGGCCUUCGGGUUGUAAACCUCUUUCAGCAGGGAAGAAGCGAAAGUGACGGUACCUGCAGAAGAAGCACCGGCUAACUACGUG